rnacentral:rRNA from 1 species
AAAUUGAAGAGUUUGAUCAUGGCUCAGAUUGAACGCUGGCGGCAGGCCUAACACAUGCAAGUCGAACGGUAGCACAGAGAGCUUGCUCUCGGGUGACGAGUGGCGGACGGGUGAGUAAUGUCUGGGAAACUGCCCGAUGGAGGGGGAUAACUACUGGAAACGGUAGCUAAUACCGCAUAACGUCGCAAGACCAAAGAGGGGGACCUUCGGGCCUCUUGCCAUCGGAUGUGCCCAGAUGGGAUUAGCUAGUAGGUGGGGUAACGGCUCACCUAGGCGACGAUCCCUAGCUGGUCUGAGAGGAUGACCAGCCACACUGGAACUGAGACACGGUCCAGACUCCUACGGGAGGCAGCAGUGGGGAAUAUUGCACAAUGGGCGCAAGCCUGAUGCAGCCAUGCCGCGUGUAUGAAGAAGGCCUUCGGGUUGUAAAGUACUUUCAGCGAGGAGGAAGGCGUUGUGGUUAAUAACCGCAACGAUUGACGUUACUCGCAGAAGAAGCACCGGCUAACUCCGUGCCAGCAGCCGCGGUAAUACGGAGGGUGCAAGCGUUAAUCGGAAUUACUGGGCGUAAAGCGCACGCAGGCGGUCUGUCAAGUCGGAUGUGAAAUCCCCGGGCUCAACCUGGGAACUGCAUCCGAAACUGGCAGGCUAGAGUCUUGUAGAGGGGGGUAGAAUUCCAG